UACGGGGGGGGGCAAGCGUUGUUCGGAAUUAUUGGGCGUAAAGAGCUCGUAGGCGGUUUUGUUGCGUCGGCUGUGAAAUCCCGAGGCUCAACCUCGGGUCUGCAGUCGAUACGAGCAAACUAGAGUGUUGCAGGGGAGACUGGAAUUCCUGGUGUAGCGGUGAAAUGCGCAGAUAUCAGGAGGAACACCGGUGGCGAAGGCGGGUCUCUGGGCAACAACUGACGCUGAGGAGCGAAAGCGUGGGGAGCGAAACAGG
rnacentral:rRNA from 1 species